UACCAGCACCCCGAGUGGUCGGGACGUUUAUUGGGCCUAAAGCAUCCGUAGCCGGUUCUACAAGUCUUCCGUUAAAUCCACCUGCUUAACAGAUGGGCUGCGGAAGAUACUAUGGAGCUAGGAGGUGGGAGAGGCAAGCGGUACUCGAUGGGUAGGGGUAAAAUCCGUUGAUCCAUUGAAGACCACCAGUGGCGAAGGCGGCUUGCCAGAACGCGCUCGACGGUGAGGGAUGAAAGCUGGGGGAGCAAACCGG
rnacentral:rRNA from 1 species